rnacentral:lncRNA from 1 species
GUGGCGAUCGGGCGACGGGAGGCCCUGAAUGUCUUUGGCAAUGACUAUGACACAGAGGAUGGCACAGGUGUCCGGGAUUACAUCCAUGUCGUGGAUCUGGCCAAGGGCCACAUUGCAGCCUUAAGGAAGCUGAAAGAACAGUGUGGCUGCCGGAUCCCGUACAAGGUGGUGGCACGGCGGGAAGGUGAUGUGGCAGCCUGUUACGCCAACCCCAGCCUGGCCCAAGAGGAGCUGGGGUGGACAGCAGCCUUAGGGCUGGACAGGAUGUGUGAGGAUCUCUGGCGCUGGCAGAAGCAGAAUCCUUCAGGCUUUGGCACGCAAGCCUGAGGACCCUCCCCUACCAAGGACCAGGAAAAGCAGCAGCUGCCUGCUCUCCAGCCUCUGGCAGGAACUCAGGGCCCUGGAGCUGCUGGGGCCAAGCCAAGGCCUCCCCUACCUCAAACCCCAGCUGGGCCCGCUUAGCCCACCAGGCAUGAGGCCAAGGGCUCCACUGACCAGGAGGCCGAGGUCUCUAACUCUUAUCUUCCACAGGGUCCAAGAGUUCAUCAGGACCCCCAAGAGUGAGUGAGGGGGCAAGGCUCUGGCACAAAACCUCCUCCUCCCAGGCACUCAUUUAUAUUGCUCUGAAAGAGCUUUCCAAAGUAUUUAAAAAUAAAAACAAGUUUUCUUACA